GAUUUUAAAAUACACGACAAGAUCAAAACCAAAUGGGCAUAUUCUGAAAUCAGUGCAAACAUCCUGUGAGAAGAAUGAAUGUUUAACAAAACAGAAAACCGGAUCAAGACUUUCAGUGACCAAAGGUAGUAAACAUCCUGAAACUGUGAUGUUUACCAAGGAUUUAUCAAAAGGACCCUGUAAUAAAGAUGAUGCUUUUAUAAUCCAAAAAGACAAUACAAUUUCAAAGCCAGAUAAUGUCAGAAAUUCAGUUAAGAAAUCUUCAGCAUCCAACAAGAAAUUUAAAAAGCAUUCUCUUUCCGUUGAGGAUCUAAGGGACAAUUUGGUAUGUUUAACACAAGAGCAGCUGGAGCAGAUUUUAAUGGCAGUAAAAGAAGGAACCCAAGGAGCCGCUCAGGUUCUGGAUGAAAAGAAAGGAGACACAAACACCAAAGCUCUUGAUGAUCAGACUUCAGAAGAACAUGUAAUGGGAUUGCUACAGAAAGUUGGCAAUACUCCAUCUCUUUCAAGUGAAAGUAGUUUCUGUUCAAAAAAACCCCAAGGAAUAUCUAGACAUGCUGAACAGAAAAUAAUAAUGAAUUCAUGGAAACCAGCUGACAUGUUUAGUACUCUGGGAGAACGAGAGUCGGAUAAAUCCUUGUUAGAUGCUAAGAAAUCUCAAUGGAAGAAAGAAUUAGAUGAACAGGUAGCUUUAAAGAAGAAACUAAAAGAAACUUUGGAAGCAGAGUCCAGAUACCACCAGCGGCAGGCAAUUGAUACAGUGGAAAGAUGUUUAGAAAAAGGACAAAACAGUUAUCAAGUAAAGAUGACGUCAUCAGACAACUUGACUUCUGCAGCAGAAGAUCUCCAUAGUCAAAGAACUUCAACCGCUGAACCUAGUGAAACUUCUCCCAGUGUGUCCAGUGGUCGAACUGAACAGUUCUCUAGUUUCAGUUCUCCUGAUUUACCGGCUGCUAUCCGAACAGCAUUUGUAUUAGGGGAAGCAACACCAGUAGAGCAUCCUUUUAGUGCUGUGAAACGUGAGCAACAGAAAAAGUGGCUUGAAGAGCUUGAUAAGCAAAAGGAAGCUGACAAGCUACGAAAAAUGGAAGAAAAAUGUACUUUUUUGAAGGGUGAAGAGCAUGACAAAUGGACAAUACAUUUUGAUUCUUUCAAGAAUCAUAUGAAUUCAUUUCCACAAUAUCCUUUAAAUACAACAUAUCAAAGGACUCCUGAGGCUGUACAGAUCUCCCAGGACCAUACAGCUUGUUCAUCUUCAGCUUUGUCUUGUCUCACACCUACAGAGAUAGAGAUUCCAGGAAAAGCAGUUGGAAAUUAUUUUUCAGAGCCAAAUCAAAAAGCCAGUUUCCUUCGUUCAAUGACUGCUCUUCUGGAUCCUGCUCAGAUUGAGGAACGAGGAAGACGACGACAAAAACAAUUAGAACAUCAGAAAGCUAUAAUGGCUCAAGUGGAAGAAAAGCGAAAAAAGAAACAGAUAGAAGACGAACAAAGAAGACUGGAAGAACAAGAAGAAGAGCUCCGGCUUGCCAGAGAACAUGAAUUGAUGAAGAAACAGUUUGAAGAAGACCUGCUAAAACAGAAACAAAAAGAGGAAAUCAUGGCCCUUAAAACAAAUGAGUUGUAUCAAACAAUGCAGAGAGCUCAAGAAUUAGCUCAAAGAUUAAAGCAAGAGCAGCGAAUUAAAAAUUUGACUCAGAAAGGACAUGACACUUCAAAACUGCAGAAGAACCUUGGUGGUGGUGAUGCAAUAAAGGAGAAUGAUUACACUGACUUGAAUGGGAUUUUAGAAACUCCUAAUCAUCAGAAGCACUGUUUUUCAGAGACUAACAAUGAAACAAAUGAGAAAAAGAAAACUAAUUUCUCUCCUCAGAAAGACACAGCUGUGCAGACAGAGUUUGCAAUCACUGAUUUUCCCACUGAUUCUGAAAUAUCCCCUGUGCCAGCUGGGGAAGGAAGAAUGGACUGUGCAUCUCCCGAUGUUGCUGUAGAAUAUAUAAUGGACCUCAGCAAUAAAAGAAGCAAGAAAGAAACACAAUAUCAAGAUAAAAGGAUUUCAGAAAAAGAGAAUAUUAUCAGCUGUUGCAGUCGCAAUGAACAGUGUUCCUCAAAGCAGAAACAUCCCAAGGCAGUAGGAAAAAAUGGGAAAAAAGUGGACUGGAACAUAAACAAACCUUGCAAAAGGUACAUUCCGGCCUCUGAGAAAUAUCCCAGACUCCAGCAAAAGCAGAGGGAAGAAAAGAAAGCACAGAGACAAAUGGCGCUGCUUCAGUUGGUUGAAAGAAACAGCCCUGGUAAUCUUUGCAAGAAAAAAGGUGUUUCCCCAGAGAGAGCCCUCUCACCUCGCCAGGAAGAUGAGGUCAAAAGUAAAGAAGAACAAUUCUCAAAAAAAUUGUUUGAACAAAGAUCUGACUCCCCACCUGUUCCAGCAGUUAAAAACAGAUUACAGCAACAACUAAAGAUUUCUGAUUUCCCAGUUCAUAACAGCAAAAAUGGAAGCCCAAAGUGUUUUUCUACAGAUCAGCAUUGGAGUGAAAGGCCUCUUCCAACUGCUGAAGCUGAAAGGCCUCCUUCAUCACAUUUUGUUCCUUAUGUGCGAACAAAUGAAAUAUAUUACCUUGAUCCAGAUGCACCCUUGACUAGGCCCUCCACGCAUGAGCCAGAAUACCAAGAGCUGAACGAUACUUACCAUAAACCACGGCAGGUUUUUAGCUCUGAUCACAUAAGGGAUCCUCUUUUUAAUCCUAAUAUGGUGAGAGACAGGCAGCAAGCCAUACUCAAAGGACUUUCAGAGCUGCGAGAGCUGGAUAUUGGAUAAGCAUUCCUUCCAACUCUUCAUGCAGAACAUUAGGAACUCAUACCAGUUUGUGACUGAUGCAAAACUGGGAAAACUAAAGGGGCUCCUCCAGAAGCAGAAAGAACUGGAGACAUGCCUUAUUCCAAGUCUUAUGUCUCAAGAAGAAAACUUUAUUUUACCACUUUAAGAAUUUCAUCUAUGAUGAAUAGAUGUUUUGCUGUGUUGGCACUUUAUACUGUAAUUAUGAACCAAGUUUGUAAAAUAUGGACUUUUGUAUAUUUAGGAUAAACUUUCAGUAAUGAAGAAUUUUAUUUCACAUGAAAACGGUAUGAUAAUGUGACUUGUUUACACAAUAUUUGUAUACCUAAUUUAAAUUUUAUGUGAGUAUUUAGCAUGAGAAAUAAAAUACUUGAAUUUUCAAUAUCCAUGGCUACUUGAGUUGCAUUUUAAUUGACAAUGUAAGCAGUGAUUUAGAUACAUCAAUCCAUGUUUAAUAGCUGCUCUUAUAAAAAUCUUAAAUGAUUUGAAAGGUAUAGCAGUUUUGUGUUUAUAUGAAUAAGCAAGAACAUAAAGAACUCCCAGGUUGUGAAUAAGAGACUGUAUAUUGAAUAGGUUGUUGGAAAAUGGAAAUAAAACUUUUUUACUAAAAAAAAAAGAACUCCCAGGUUGUGACUUAUAUGUAUAGAAUCAUAAUGAAUGCCAAAUAAUUGUUUUACAUUAAUAAUACAUUUACAUAAUUUUAAAUUAAUAAUACAUUAUGUUAAGCCGCUUUAUAAAAAUUGCAUUUUACAUGUGUCAUACCUUACCUAUAUUUAAAAUGAGUUGUGAAGCAUAUGAUUGAUUCUACAAGCAGAAAUCACAACUCAAAUUUAACUAAAAACAUGGAACCUAGUAACAUGGUUCCUUUUCAACCUGACAAUAAAGUUAAUAAUUUAAGAAGAAUAUAACUAUGCUAUAAUGUUCAACCAAUUAAUAGUUUUUUGCCUGAAUAAAAACUGAUAACGUGUAUUUUAUCUUUUACUUUCUGCAAGGAAUAUUUAUUGUAGAAGAACAGAAUUCAUGACAAAUUGCUUUGAUUUAUUCCUUCUCUUAAUCAUUAAUCCCUAAUUAAAAUCAUGGUUUAGCAUGCAAUCUGAAUCAAACAUUAAAAUGACACCAGUUACAUUUAGAGCAAGUAUCACAUACAUGAAAAUCUAACUGCUCAAUUCUGCAGUCUUUCAAGAUACCCGUCAGAUUUCUUCUGAGAGCAGCGUCUUAUUUGGAAGAAGAAAAACUAACCUUGCUUUCAUCUUACCAGCCUCACACAAUCUUUUUUCACAACUCUGGAAAGUCACUAGAAGGGCAGGAUUAAACCUCUCACCUUCGAUCACCCACCCCCAACAACAAAAACAAACUUCAAAACAAUCCCAACAUGGAACAUGGGAUUGAGUACUUCAGAUGUAAUGGAGUCCACAUAAUAGACAUAACAAGCAGUACCAGAAUUGUGAAUAAAUUCCAUUCCCUAAAUCUGUCUUUAACUCAAAAUUUCUAUUUAAGUUGGAAUUUGUACUGCCUAUUAAUGGAGGACAGCAUUGUCCUUAAAACUGAGCAACGCUUUCAGGAACAGCUGAAAACAGGCAGUAUAUUAAAAACAUACAGAUUCACCACCUUGUUGGCUUGAAGAACACCAUUUGCCAUUUUUAAUCAUACGCAGCCUGUUCGUAUCCAGGGAUUAUUCUUAAAUUGGACGUUCUUAACUCAGAAAUAGCCAUUAUAUUGCCAAUGCUUUAGGCAAUGGUUUCUAAAUUUGAUAUAAAAAUGAAUAAAAUAAUAUAAACUCUUGAUUCAGAAAUUGAGAAACCGUAAGAUUUUUCAUAAGCUUUUCUUCAAAUAGCUUGCAGCUUGCAUUCAAAGAUUCUAUUGGCAGAGAGCCAGUUUGGUCUAGUCAGGUUUGGGCAACAAACCACUCAGUCAGUUCCUGUCACAAUCAAAUGGAUUAGCACUAAAUUGAUCUAAAAUAAAAAUGGACCCUCCACUUGCGUGAAAAUGCUAGGAAAAACAAAUUCUGUAGAACUGGUCUAUUAUUUUACUUUACAAACCUGCAUUUUCAGGUGGAACUAUAUCCAGAUAACUCAAAUACUGAAACAAAUGCUAAAUUACAAAUUUAAAAAUCAGUCAUUUGGACAGAGUUCAAAAUUUGAAAACCAAAGUUUUAAUACAGACUACUUCAUUUUAACUAUAGCCAACAGAGAGAAAAUAUCUGGUGUUCAGAAGCUACUGGUAUUUCAGCAUGCUUUCACAGCACUAUUAUAUUUAUAUUCCUUCUUUAAAAACCAGAUUUUAACCAGCCCAUCUUUGAUCACAUGCCAUCAAUGCGGACUCCUAGCAUCCACAAAUAUCUUUCAGCUAAUCUUAGUAGAUACAUAAUAAAGAAAAGAGGAGGGGAAACAAUGCAAACUUUUCUGCAAAAUAAUAUUAAAGGUAUAAACUUAAACAAUUAUAAGAUUAAGGAGUGAUAAGAAAAAUCAGUAAAAGUACUUAAAUAUUUCUGAUAACAAGUAUUUAUUUAUUUAUUUAUUUAUUUAGAAAAUUUAUAUUUAUGGUUCCCCAGGCCUGCUGACAAAAUCACAUCUUUAGGGCCUUCCAAGAGAGUGUUAGAGUGGGGGACAAUCUAAUCUCUGGAGGGAUGAAAUUCCAGAGAGGGAGCCACUAUUGAGAAGGCCCUUCUUCUGGGUCCACCAUAUGUAUUUCCUUAGUGGACUGGACCCACAAUAUUUCUUGCCUCCCCGCUCUUGUGGGUCAGGUAGAUGUGACCAGCAAGAGACGGUCCCUCAGAUAACUUGGUCCCAACUCACAAAGGGCUUUAAAGUUGACAACCAGCAGUUUGAAUUGCACCAGGAAGCAUAUCUGCAACCAAUGUGCACACCGAGGUUUGCACAAAACUAUGUGGGCUAAUGCAUUUUGCACCAACUGGAGCUUCCGGAUGCUUUUCAGGGGCAGUCCCAUGUAUAGUGUUUUGCAAUAGUCAAGACUGGAGGGAAAUAGGGCAUGAGUGAUCAUGAAUAGGGAUUGUUGUCCAGGAAAGGGCAUAACUGCACAAACUGUAGUUGCACAAAGGACUUUUUGGCCAUGACUGCCAUCUGUUCUUUGAGCAGAAGUUGCGAAUCCAGAACCCCCAGAUUACACACAGGGUGUGUUUGGGGCAGUGCCAUCCCAUCCAAGACCAAAGCUGGCAAUUCUCCAUGGGCCAACCCCGAACCCAGAGCUACUUGUUCUUGCAGAUUCGGUUCAAUCCGUUGCUCCCCAUCCAGCCCCUAACAACCUCCAAGCACUGCGAAAGGGAGGUCAUGCCAUCGCUUAACUCACCACGGGCUAAGACAUACAGCUGAGUAUCAUCAGCAUAUAGAUGAUAUUUCAGUCCAUGGUGGUGGAUGACCUCACCCAACAGCUUCAUAUAAAUGUUGAACAGGAGCAGAGAAAAUACCGAGACCUACGGGACCCUGCAAAGUAGUGGUCAAGGGCUAGAUCUCCGACUGAAAGCGGCCACAGAAGACGUGAGCUAGGAUAGCAUAGAGCCCCUCGCUCCCAAUCCCAAAGCCGCUCCAGAAGGAUACUGUGGUUGAUGGUAUUGAAAGCUGCCAAGAGGUCAAGUAGAGUAAGGAUGUAUGCACUACCCCCAUCCUGCUCCCACCAGAGAUCAUCAAAAAGCAUGACCGAUGCCAUUUCUGUCCCAUAUCCAGGCUUGAAUCCUGACUGGUAGGGGUGUAGAUAAUCCGUUUCAUCCAGAAAUCUCUGCAGCUGCUGUGCAACCACCUUCUCAAUAACCAAUAAUAAAAGGGAAGACUGGUCAGAAAUUAUCCAACAGGGAGGAAUCCAGCAAUGGCUUAAGAAGGCGGACCACAGGCUCUUUAAAAUGCUGAGGCACUCCUGUAGGGAAGCAUUAAUCACUGCAGAGUCCUGUCAGCUCCUGGGAAGCUUUCACAAGCCAUGAGGGACAUGGGUCUAAAACACAGGUGCUUGCGCGCAUACUCUGGGAUCCUAUACAAUUCCUCAGGAGCAACAGGGUCAAAUUGUUCCCAGAUAACAGGGCAAGAACCUGCCCCAGGGGCCUCCAUUGGACCAGCAAUCACUCCAGCAUCUAAUCAAGUGAUUUUGUCUUCCAGAAAAUCCGCAAGUUCCUCAGCAUGCCCCUUCAGGUGGACCUGUCUCCUCCUUCCCCAGGAGGAGACAGCUCAUAUUCAGCUCUCAAGAAACUCAUUGCCACCAGACUGUGAUCUGACCAUGAAAGGGGGACCAAAGACAAGUCCAAUUCUAGGUCACACGGGCACUGCUCCAACAAGAACACCAAAUUGGAAUACUGAUAUUUAACCACUAUUCGGGCCCUGGCUAACCUGGGACAGGCCAAUGGAAGUCAUGGUUUCCACAAAAUCCCAGGCUACCUCUGACCCCACCUCCGGGGAUGGCAGAUUGAAGUCCCCCAGAAUUAUAAACCUGAGGAACUCCACACUCCACUGCCACCCCUGCAGUUGGGUCCAAGAGCCUGUAUAGGAAAGCUGCCAUGCAGCAGGGAGGCUGGUACAGCUGUAGCAAUCCAACCCGAUCCCUUAAGCCCAACCUAAGAAAAAGAGUCUCACAGCCAAGCAUUUGUGGAGCCAUGCCCAGGGAGGCUGCCAGAGAUUCUCUGGUAAAAACAGCCACACACCCUCCCCAGCCAAGGUCUAGGCUGGUGUCAUGCCCGAUAACCUAGCGGCACAUUUCUAAGAGAGGAACACCUCCCUCUGUGCCCAGCCAAGUCUGUUAUACAAACCAAAUUAUAAACUAUCAUAAUAUUCAUAAGGAAAUAUGCCCAAGUCAGAUCUGAAAUUUCUAGUUUAAAUGAUUGUAUACAAUUUAUAAAGUAACAUUGCAGAUUUUUAACUGCAAGUCUAGUUACUGAUAUCAAUAUAUUAGUAGUCAUUUACAGCCUAAUAUUAAACUUGCUUCCUCUAAAGAGAUCAAAGUAGCAGCAUAAUUUCUCCCUUACCGCAAAGUCUUUUAACAUAUUUAUGAGGCUGAUGGAGAGUUAUACAUCCAGCAUGAAUUGGAACUGGUUUAUUUUAUUUAAAAUGUUUGACCCUCUAUUUUAAAUACAACUCUUUUGACAGUUCAAAACAAUAAAACCCAAUAACUAAAAAAUUUUAAAACAUAAAA